AUUGAACGCUGGCGGCAUGCUUUACACAUGCAAGUCGAACGGCAGCGCGGGCUUCGGCCUGGCGGCGAGUGGCGAACGGGUGAGUAAUACAUCGGAACGUGCCCAGUAGUGGGGGAUAGCUCGGCGAAAGCCGGAUUAAUACCGCAUACGACCUGAGGGUGAAAGCGGGGGAUCUUCGGACCUCGCGCUCUUGGAGCGGCCGAUGGCGGAUUAGCUAGUUGGUGGGGUAAAGGCCUACCAAGGCGACGAUCUGUAGCUGGUCUGAGAGGACGACCAGCCACACUGGGACUGAGACACGGCCCAGACUCCUACGGGAGGCAGCAGUGGGGAAUUUGGGACAAUGGGCGAAAGCCUGAUCCAGCAAUGCCGCGUGUGUGAUGAAGGCCUUCGGGUUGUAAAGCACUUUUGGCGGGAACGAAAAGGACUGUGCCAAUACCACGGUUCGAUGACGGUACCCGCAGAAUAAGCACCGGCUAACUACGUG
rnacentral:rRNA from 1 species